AGCACUUUGAACGGGAGUCCCUUGCGGACUGAGAUCACACCGUUGGAACUCGACCAAGGCCAUUCUUGCGUGAGGAUUCAUAGAGAAGCUCGCG
rnacentral:ncRNA from 2 species